rnacentral:tRNA from 1 species
UCCCUGGUGGUCCAGUGGUUAAGACUCUACACUUCCAAUGCAGGAAAUGCAGGUUCCAUCCCUGGCUAGGGAA